UCUGCCUUCCCCCAGUGUUAGCUAGAAACAACCAAUCAGAGGCAGGAGGCGGGUCUUAGCGCUGUCAAUCAAGCCCAUUUGAAAGGUGCCAGCUUUUCCAAGUCAGCAGAGCCUGUAGUGAAUGCCACCGAUGACACUGGAUAAACGGUUUUCUUGUCAUGGUGAGUUGCUUCUCCACCUUUAGCACAUUUAGCAGUUUGUUCAUUUGGAUGAUUGACAGCAAUAAGAACCUCCUCUCGACUCUGCUUGGUUGUUUUUGACCAGAACUGCUGCAUUCCUUCAGAUGGCAGUAGUAGCUCAUGGAGGAGGUGGAGGAACUCCAUCUUUUCACAGAUUAUUAGUCUCAUAUCAUACUGUCACAACAUGGUGACAGUUUUAACAAAUAGCCAAAUACCCAGAGAAAAGUUACAGGUCUGGGUCAUAGCUUAAUAAUCCUUUUUAGUGAGGAAAACAUCUUCCUGGUAAAGGUUAAACAACAUGUGAGUUCAACACAGAUGCAAAGAGGAUGUUUGGACAUGCUAUGCUGUUCUGUCAUGGAAUACUUUCUUUAUUUAGUCUAUUUAUAUAUCUUUUAUUCACAUGAAAUGUUUUAUUAUCCUUUCAAGGCAAACGGAGGCCAUUCAGAUCUAAUUCUAUAGAAUCUAACAAGGUCCAAGUUAAGUUCAGAUAAUUCAUUCAAUUAAGUACGUUUCAAUGUUAAAGUCAGACACGUGUAAGAAAAGCAACUGGAGGUAAACGUUUGGCUUGCUAGGCCUUCUUGCCCGACAUCAACACAAAUGAAUUCUCAAACACACACAAACAUACAUGCAAAUUCACAACUACACAGUCUGAUUUACAAGUACUAAAUAUUUAUGACCAACCCCUCCCUCGUCGUUCAACGUGGCUGUUAUGUAAUGAGAACAUAGUAAUAAAUUCUUCAUUCGCUUCUUAAAUGAGGUGAAUCUCAAUUUAAGAAAAUCCACAUGUCUGAGAAUGUGUUGCUUCAGUGUCAAGUCUGUGAAUGCAGAGAAAUAAAUCAUUAGCUCAUGUAGCUAGUGCAGGUUAGUCCGGUCAGUGGUCACUGAGCAAAACAAAAAGUGACUGCCACUGGUUUUCUACCACAGCUCUUGAACAUUUAAAUUGGGGUUGCUGUCCCCGGAUCCAAGGUCCAACUUCCAAUUCAAAAUCAAACAAUUCUCACCAAAUAAUCAAGAUGUCACACUAAUUUAGAAGAUGCAUUAUUGUGAUGUAAAUGUGACCAAAAUGCACAUAUCAGAGAAGCCAGCUCUGUCUCGCAGAGAAGCAUGUCCUUCUCUGCGAGGAAGCAUGAAGCAGGGAAGCAUGUCCUUGAGACAAAUAACCUCGUCUCAAGGUUAUUUUCAACAGCAUUCUGCAGAUGCUCAGCUUUUUAUUAGCGUUCGUGCCAUUUAGCCCACCCCAAAAAAAGCAACAGGACAGAACGGAUUCCCUUUCUCUAUCCAGGCCAAGGUUACAAAAUUAGUUUUUUAAUCAGAUUGAGGGUCUCUGUGGAAGCCGGUCUCUCCUCUAAUGUGGAGGACCGAUUUAUCUUGUGAAGCCGAGGCGUUGAUGCUGAUGAAAAAGAUCUGAUUGAAAGAUUUUAUUUUCCUCAAGUUUUUAGCUUAUUGUGCCAUUUGUCAAUAUUAAAAUGUCCUGUGAUGUAAUCAGUGUGUGAAUAAAGAAACUGACCAAGUU